AAAUAACCCAGUGGGCCGAUCUUUUUCCCCCUUUGUUGCUGCUAUUCUUCCAUAAUUCCAAAAGCUGAAAUCACCCCUCAGAUGCAAACAACACACGCAGAGAGAGAGAGAGAGAGAAACCCAAUCCUAAAGCAAAGAAAUCAUCAAAAACAUCUAAAUUCCAAACAAAAACAAGACUAAAUAUCACUUCUCAGAUACAGACCCAUUAGUGAGAAUUCACAUUUAUUGCUGUUUCAGUCACUCCUUGGUGUUUUCUGUCUCGUUUCCAUCGCCAUUUUUAAUUUCCAUCCCAAUCAAACCCAAAUUUACAUUAACCUCUCUCUCUCUUUCUUUCUCAUUUGGCAAUGCCAAUGCUCGAUGCCAUCGGCUAAAGGACAAUAAACAUAGAGGUUAGAGAGAAUUAAAACAAAAUUAUUCAUGGCGACAGCAACUACUACUACUACCACAACUACUGCUACAACUACUAAAGCUCAUCUUAAAGUUCAAUCUCAGCCCACCAAGCCCAAACGCCGCAACUGCCGUGAAACUACCAUUUCCUCCUCCGCUGCUACCACCGCCACUGCCAUUGCUAAUUCUAAUAAUUCUGACUCUGUUUCUGCUUCUGGGUAUUCUUCCCAUACUCAAAGCCGGAAACUUGAACGACCCAACAUUGUCUCCCCUGAUAACUCCUGGUGCUGUCCUGCUUCUAUACCUAUCUCUGCCCCAUCUCCGCCUCCUCAACCCUGUCGUUUAACCGUGAGGGAUUCUCACCCAUUUCUUGAUUCGCCGUCAACCUUCAAGAUCCGCUUCUCUCCGGGAAGUCUAUCGCCUGUCAUGGACUUCACGCCCAACUCAGCUUCCACGAUUACCGGCACUACAACCCUAGCCAAUGGCAACCACUCUCCUCAUGAGCCUUCUUCUUUCCCUUCGAGUUUCACGAAAUUUAACACUGCACUCACCGCCGGUCUUCUGAACCCGAUGUCGCCACCGCCGGAUAAACCACGAUCCAGUCCGACGCUUUUCGAGAUGAUGGCAAGCGAGCCGGAAAUGCAACCCAGGAACCAGAUCCCGAUUAACAAUGCUAACGUCACUGCUCGAAGCUCGCAGAACCCCCAAAUGUCUGUUCAAGAUAAGCAGACCCUAAUUAUGCAGCGAAUAGCUGACAUUUUGGGAAACAGAAGCCCUGGAAACCAGUUCAAUGAUGCGUCUUCAAGUGAUGUCAAGCUGACAUUGAGUUCCAAAGACGGAAUUAGCGUGUCAAUGAGCGUCCACAGGCAGAUCCUGGUGGCACACAGCAGGUUUUUCGCUAUGAAAUUGUCGGAUCGGUGGGCCAAGCAGCAGCGCUCGUCGGGGCCGUAUGUAGUGGAGAUUGCCGAUUGCGAUGAUGUCGAGGUUUACAUUGAGACUUUGAGGUUAAUGUAUUGCAAGGAUCUCCGGAGAAAGCUCAUGAAAGAGGAUGUGAGUAGGGUACUUGGUAUUUUGAAGGUUUCUGCAGCAAUUGGGUUUGAUGCUGGGGUUUUAUCCUGCUUGGAGUACUUGGAAGCUGCUCCAUGGGCUGAGGAUGAAGAAGAGAAGGUGGCCUCACUGUUGUCAGAGCUCCGCCUUGAAGGAGUUGGAGCAGGAGAGGUCCUUAAGAGGGUGUCAGUAGAGGUCACUAAUGGAACAGAAGAGAGUAGUGACAAUGAUGAACUGCUUCUCAAGCUUUUGCGUGUAGUUCUUGAAGGUAAAGAUGAGAAAGCUAGGCGGGAGAUGAAAGGGUUGGUAUCAAAGAUGCUUCGUGAGAAUUCUUCACAGAAUGAUCUUCGAAAGGAAUCCUUGUACUCAGCUUGUGAUGGUUGUUUGCGAUUGCUUCAUAGCCAUUUUCUUCAGGCAGCAGCAGGAGAUUUGGAGGAUAUUGAACAGAUAGCACGUCAAGCAGAUAACCUGCAUUGGAUUUUGGAUAUUUUGAUUGACAGACAGAUUGCUGAAGAUUUUCUGAAAACAUGGGCAUCUCAGUCAGAGUUGUCUGAUGUGCAUUCUAAAAUUCCUGCUGUACACAGGUACGAGGUUAGCAGAGUUACAGCAAGGCUGUUUGUUGGGAUUGGAAAGGGGCAACUGUUGGCUUCAAAGGAAGUGAGGUGCUUGCUUUUACAGACAUGGUUGGUGCCAUUUUAUGAUGACUUUGGGUGGAUGAGGAGGGCAUCUAAAGGCCUCGAUCGACAUCUAAUUGAGGAUGGCCUUAGUAACACAAUUCUAACUCUACCUCUUGCUUGGCAGCAAGAUAUUUUACUGGCUUGGUUUAAUAGGUUCUUGAACUCUGGUGAAGACUGUCCAAAUAUACAAAGGGGAUUUGAGGUUUGGUGGAGAAGGGCUUUCUGGAGACGAAGUGGUGAGCAGGAAAGGACAAGGCCAUUAAGAAUCUCGAGUGCAACCAUUGAGAACUCAUGAAAAGAUAUGGACUUCAUGGUGCAUGAAAUGGUUCCCUGAGGAGUUGGUCUCCUUUUAACUUGUCAUGAUGGAUUUGACCCUGACUCUACACCAAUAAUUCUUGGAUCAGUGCCUCUACUUUAGUCCACGCAAAGUCCCUCAACCCGGCCUGUUUUCCUAUUUUCCUCCCUCCUUGCUGGUGCUUAUUUCCCUCUCUUUUGCAGUCUCGCUCCCUAAAGCUCUUGCACCUUUGUUGCUGUUGGUGUUUUGUGGCCCCUCACUGCUGGUCACCUCUUGCACCUCUGUUGUUGUUGGUGAUUCUGUAUUGCUUCUCGCUCAUUCCUGGUGCCUACUGCAUACUGAUUUCCUCGUUACAGCCCCUUUCAGCUGGCCAUCACUGUGACUGACUCGCGAUCUGUCUUUGCACCAACUCUCCAAAAGUUUGCAACGUCUGUGUUGAUGAUUUAUGUACUGUUUUAGAUACUGUCUUGUGGAAGAAAGUUAGCGCAAACCAAUUGAUUCUUUCCUCCUGUAAAUUUUUGAGUAUUGGCUUAUAGAAAUAUUGAUGAUGUUCUUAUUGUAAUUUUGAUCAAUGUAAUAGGCUAUGGAAAUGGUGCUUCUAAAAUAUCGUAAAUUUGCAGGUAUUCUAUUCUAGCUAUUCAA